rnacentral:rRNA from 1 species
ACGGAAGGCAGCAGUGGGGAAUAUUGCACAAUGGGGGAAACCCUGAUGCAGCGACGCCGCGUGAAGGAAGAAGUAUCUCGGUAUGUAAACUUCUAUCAGCAGGGAAGAUAGUGACGGUACCUGACUAGGAAGCCCCGGCUAACUACGUGCCAGCAGCCGCGGUAAUACGUAGGGGGCAAGCGUUAUCCGGAUUUACUGGGUGUAAAGGGAGCGUAGACGGUGUGGCAAGUCUGAUGUGAAAGGCAUGGGCUCAACCUGUGGACUGCAUUGGAAACUGCCAUACUUGAGUGCCGGAGGGGUAAGCGGAAUUCCUAGUGUAGCGGUGAAAUGCGUAGAUAUUAGGAGGAACACCAGUGGCGAAGGCGGCUUACUGGACGGUAACUGACGUUGAGGCUCGAAAGCGUGGGGAGCAAACAGGAUUAGAUACCCUGGUA